UACAGAGGGUGCGAGCGUUGUCCGGAAUCACUGGGCGUAAAGGGCGCGUAGGUGGUGGCUUAAGCGUGCGGUGAAAGCUCGGGGCUCAACCCCGAGUCGGCCGUGCGAACUGGGCUCACUGGAGCAUAGUAGAGGCAGGUGGAAUUCCGGGUGUAGCGGUGGAAUGCGUAGAGAUCCGGAAGGACACCGGUGGCGAAGGCGGCCUGCUGGGCUAUGGCUGACACUGAGGCGCGACAGCGUGGGGAGCAAACAGG
rnacentral:rRNA from 1 species